UUUGGUUUAGUUUAGUGGCGGACGGGUGAGUAACGCGUGGGUAACCUGCCCUAUACAGGGGGAUAACAGUUGGAAACGACUGUUAAUACCGCAUAAGCGCACAGGAGCGCAUGCUCCGGUGUGAAAAACUCCGGUGGUAUAGGAUGGACCCGCGUCUGAUUAGCUGGUUGGCGGGGUAACGGCCCACCAAGGCGACGAUCAGUAGCCGGCCUGAGAGGGUGAACGGCCACAUUGGGACUGAGACACGGCCCAAACUCCUACGGAAGGCAGCAG
rnacentral:rRNA from 1 species